GGUGGUUGGAAGGCGGGGGAAGUCGCUGCUCAUAAGCGCUCGAACGUGCUGUAUUGGAGUUGUGUGUGUGUGUGUGUGUGUGUUGCGGCCACGUGUGAACGGGGCUCUCGGAGAUCACUGGGGGGCUCCGGGCCGCCCGCUGGUAACCGCUCACCGGGGAUGCUCGGGGAGAGUGGUGCUCUCUGCAAAAUGACUAUGUUAUGAGUGAGUUUGAUAAGAGUCACCAUGGUGAGGAAAGGAAUAAUGGAUUUUCAGUCAUGGCUUCUUUCUUCCCCUGGAGAGCAAUGAGUCUGUUUCCCUUUUCCAAUAACAGCUUUAUUACAGCAUGUAAAAGGGAAACAAGAAGAUGAACAGACUGGACCUGGCUGUGCAGAGAUCACUCUUCUAAGGAGCCUGUGUGGGGAGAUGCUGGCCUGGGAGUCAAUGUGAGGAAAAGCAGAAGAUAUUUACCAAGUAGCUUUAUAUCUGAAGUAUUAUUCAAGGGAGGUCGCUCUAGAAGACGAGAGAACUUUCGGUACAUGAUGAAUAUAAAGCUCUAAGAAUUGGUGCUGAAGGAAAGUUUCUCAAAAGUGCAUUUAGUCUUUGAUACCUUUGGUGAUACGUGCUGCUUCAUCUACCAUCUCUGGGCAUCAGCCAGCCCAGUGUUUCAGGCUGUACCGGAUGGCAGUACUCCUUUGUUUUUGUAAUGUAUGUCUCCUUCACUGAGAAAGAAGCUGAAAGAUCGACUUUGCCAUCAUGUUGCUGCACUGUAAAUUUUACUAUUAAAGUAAGGUGUAAAGGUAUCCUAAAUCCAUGUGAUGGCUCACACCAGACCUGUCAGGAGCUCUUUGAUUAGAUGGACAACCGUAACAUUUUGACUGGGGUAUGGAAGUGGGGAGUAGCUGAUCCUGAAAUACUGGGCAAGAUUGCAUGAAGUUGGAAACUCACUCCUAUUACAGAAAAAAAAUGGAAAACUCCGAAUCUUCAGAAUGAAUUGGAUUUUUAUCUUCAUGUUCUGCCCAUAUUUGAUGUGGGAGUUGAAAUCAAAAUCCAAAUGAUAUUUCCAAAUUUAGGGGUCAUUUGAAGUACCUUUCCAUCUUCCUACCACAGUUUUUUCUAAGGCUCAUUGACAUCUAAUGAUAAUAAGGUCUUUCAUUACAGAAUCACAAAAUACUCGGCCUGUGGCCUUAUGUUUGAUUAAUAUUUGUUUGAUAAUCAUAGGUAAAUUAAUUUCCAUUGUUUCUGUUUAAUUCUAUACGAGAUUGUAAGAUACAACUAGAGAAAAACAUGGAGAGCCAUGAGUAAAUGUUGCUCAUACAAAAUGUUUCUAUUACCCUUUACUUUUCAAACCAUUAAUAGAUUAUUAGGAGAUAUAAACACAGGAGACCAUGGAUCAUAUUUGCAUAUUAAUGAAAUCCAUGAAUUAUACAUUAUUUGCUAUAGAGAGUACUAGGAACAGUAUUCCUUCUUUUUUAAUGGCUAUAAAAGCUGGUGGUUUCCUGGAGCACACAUCAUAUCCCCUCUGCAGUACCUUCUAAUAGAAGCAAGCAAGCCAGCUCUUCAAAGCAAUCUCUCACUAAAUGAAAUAGAUUUGUUUGUGUUGCUUUGCAACACACAAGUGUGACAGUUCAUUUUAAACAACGUAGUUUUAAUAAUGUCAUUACUAAUAUCUGUUUGGUCAUCUCUCUGAAAAAUGGCGUUUUAAUGGGAAUGUUUCAUUUUAAUAAAUGGCAGAAGAGGCAAGCUGCCCUGAGUCAGCAGGAAGUGGAUAUACACCAGAGAACAGGCUGAUUGUGUUAGAUUCAUCCAGAACAUUGAACAGCACACAGACAGUCCAAGAAAAAGCAACUGGCUUUAUUCAAAUGAUUAGUCUUGCUGCUACACUGUAGCGCAGAUUCACACAUUCUUCUAUUAUUCCUUGACCUUGUGCCAAAAACUCCCACUUGAAGUAAUAAUUAGAAUUAGUGUUUCCAGUGCAUGCUUCCAUCUUCCUAACAAACAGUAAUGAAAUGUGGCUUUUACAAAAUAUGCAGAUAAUUAAACUUUUUUAAAACAUUGGUUGAUUAAUACAGUUCCUCUGUGCCAUCCCCUUGCUGUGCCCAACACCUUCUACCUGAUAUUGGCAAAUCAGAAGAAAAGCACUGUCAGUGAGAUGAAAGACAGUUCAGAAGUUUGCACUUCAAUAUCGGUUAUAUAUAUUCUAUUUUCUUUCUUAUUUUGACUCUGUCUAGGGAUAAACUGGAAAGAUGGACAUUAUUUGUAAUCACAGAUUUUUAAGCCCAGGAUAGUGUGCGCAUUAUAUAACUACUCUAAACAUACCCUCAGCAUGGAUAUGAAGAACACAUAUAUCAAGUGCUACAAGAUGAUGAGGCAGGAAGCAAGUUACAUCUUGGAGAAAUUGCCCUCAGGAGAGAGGAAAAACUGUUGCGAGGUUGACAGCACAACCUUGUAGCAGCACAGUUUGCCUUUCCCAGUGGUUCAAGGAGUUCCAAGCACCCUCUUGUAAAUCAUCGGCUCACAUCUAUUUAUUAUCUUCCAGCCCAGUGCACAACACUAUCUGUUACACACGGAUACUGGCAAUAUUACAAGGUGGACUCCAGGGAUAAGAGACAGCCAACCCCACACACCUCCCACGCCUGAGUCAUGCCCAGGGUAACGCCAGGUCCUGCUCAUACCCGCUGUCGGCAGAAAUGAAACAGUACAAGCUGUUGUGUUUCAGAGUCUUUUUUAAUUGAUUCUCCAGAAUGCUAGAUCCUACCUGCUGAUAUCCUCAUGUUUGUUAUAAAGAGGCAUGGUCUAUCUGCAUAGCAAUGGAUGAAAUGCCUGUGAAAAUAUUGCUGUUCAUUUAAUCGAUGUCGGAGCUGGAGUAGGCACCAGCUACACCCUGCAAGGCUUGUCCUGGAAUAUCAAUAAAUAAAUCAUAAAAGCCAAUGCUUCAAAUAUUGAAAAAUCCACACUUCAAACUGUGUUUUGAACUAUACUGAGAGCCAUGUCUCAGAUUGUCCUUUUGCUUUAUAUGAACAGAGGAAAUUCAAAGUAGGACGAACUCUCUCUGGGGAUUUGGUGUAGGGGAGUGCCACAAACCAUCAGCCUUCCUGUCUCUGCCAUGCCAGAGAGGCCUCUCCUGGGACGUGCCAUGAGGAGCAGACAGCACAUCUGGGGAGCUAAUGUGGCUUCAGAUGAAAUUAUCUUCUUCAGAAUCCAUCUUGGCUGACAGCAGCGUGCACGCGAAGGAGCCAGUCAGUGGCGGGGAGCCAGGUCACAGCAGGGCAGGUGAAGGCUCAGAGGAAAGUAGCACCUCCCUGUGACUGUCUGGGUGAAAUGAAGUUCCUUGCCACAUGGAUGGUGUCAAUCAAAUGGGGCAUCUUUUUAUCCUUCUAUUCAGAGCCCAUAUUUGGUAAAAGCAACCUCGUUGAAGCCCCCAGCCCUGCUGCCCUCUUGCAGUGCUCUCUCACUUCAAGUCCUGUCUUAUAGAGUGCUGCAUGAUGUGCUGUGCAUGUCAGCCGUGCAAGGAAGGGUGAGGACAGUUGUGCUCUGAAAG